rnacentral:rRNA from 1 species
CACGUAGGGUGCGAGCGUUGUCCGGAAUUAUUGGGCGUAAAGAGCUCGUAGGCGGUGUGUCGCGUCGGCCGUGAAAACCUGCAGCUUAACUGUGGGCUUGCGGUCGAUACGGGCAUCACUGGAGUUCGGCAGGGGAGACUGGAAUUCCUGGUGUAGCGGUGAAAUGCGCAGAUAUCAGGAGGAACACCGGUGGGCGAAGGCGGGUCUCUGGGCCGAUAACUGAC